AUACGGAGGAUCCGAGCGUUAUCCGGAUUUAUCGGGUUUAAAGGGUGCGCAGGCGGGAGAUUAAGUCGGCGGGGAAAUUUUGCAGCUCAACUGUAAAAGUGCCUUCGAAACUGGUUUCCUUGAGUGUAGAUGAAGGAGGCGGAAUUUGUGGUGUAGCGGUGAAAUGCAUAGAUAUCACGAGGAACUCCGAUUGCGCAGGCAGCUUACUAAACUACUACUGACGCUCAGGCACGAAGGCGUGGGGAUCAAACAGGAUUAGAUACCCUGGUAGUCCACGCAGUAAACGAUGAUUACUAGCUGUUUGCGAUACAAUGUAAGCGGCUGAGCGAAAGCGUUAAGUAAUCCACCUGGGGAGUACGUUCGCAAGAAUGAAACUCAAAGGAAUUGACGGGG
rnacentral:rRNA from 1 species